CAGCCGCCGCGGUAAAACGAAGGGUGCAAGCGUUACUCGGAAUUACUGGGCGUAAAGCGUGCGUAGGUGGUGGUUUAAGUCCGUUGUGAAAGCCCUGGGCUCAACCUGGGAAUUGCAGUGGAUACUGGAUCACUAGAGUGUGGUAGAGGAUAGUGGAAUUUCCGGUGUAGCAGUGAAAUGCGUAGAGAUCGGAAGGAACAUCUGUGGCGAAGGCGACUAUCUGGGCCAACACUGACACUGAGGCACGAAAGCGUGGGGAGCAAACAGGAUUAGAUACCCCCGUAGUCCCUGUCUCUUAUAC
rnacentral:rRNA from 1 species